rnacentral:pre_miRNA from 1 species
AAAAAGGCAAACCCUAGAUUUUCGUGUCAACGUUUGAUUGUUCGUCUUAUAUGAAUUUUUUUUAUAAUUAGUAUUUUCAUUAUUGUUAGAUGAUAAAACAUAAUUAAUACUUUAUACAUUACUUAUCUUUUUAAUUUUUUUCAUAUUUUUUUAAAUAAGACGAACGGUCAAAUGUUGGACACGGAAACCAGGGUU